UUCUUGGCAUCCUCGAGAAUUUCCUUGUACAUGGUCGCGUAACAACGAUCCGGCACCAUGGCGAUGCAGUCUUGAAGCUCGUCAUCGUUGUUCCACAUCCUGCCGCCGUCCCGAACCACAUUCGGCAUGGACGCAUCGACUAUGAUGUUGUUGGGAACGUGCAGG
rnacentral:rRNA from 1 species